rnacentral:rRNA from 1 species
AUACAUAGGGGGCAAGCGUUAUCCGGAAUUAUUGGGCGUAAAGCGUGCGUAGGCGGUUCGGUAAGUUGGAUGUGAAAUCUCCCGGCUCAACUGGGAGAGGUCGUUCAAUACUGUCGGACUAGAGGAUGGUAGAGGGAGGUGGAAUUCCCGGUGUAGUGGUGAAAUGCGUAGAUAUCGGGAGGAACACCAGUGGCGAAAGCGGCCUCCUGGACCAUUCCUGACGCUCAGACGCGAAAGCUAGGGGAGCGAACGGGAUUAGACACCCCGGUAGUCUUAGCUGUAAACGAUGUAGACUUGGCGUCGGUGGGGUAAAAGCCGUCGGUGCCGGAGCUAACGCGGUAAGUCUACCGCCUGGGGACUACGGCCGCAAGGUUAAAACUCAAAGGAAUUGACGGGG